GUUGCUCUACAAUACACUGUGCAUUUCGCGGACAUCACACCGCGCCGGACUAGUGAUACUGAUAAGCGACUACGGCGCUCAACGUAAACAUGUUUGUUUAUACACAUAUCACGCUGUAUCGCGCACGUCUAAUUAAUAUAUUACAAAUAAUAUAAUUGCAUUAGUUGCAAUUGUGGGUCGUUGUUAUCGCGCGCCUUGUGAUUCAGAUAUCGGAUGUUAACAGUGGUGUAACGAUCUAAAAUCGCCCGGCCACAAUGCCUUUUUAGCCACCCCUUUUUUCAUUUUUUAUUUAUAAAUUAUCAUUAAUUAUAUUACGCCGGCACUAAAUUUAAAAUAAAUUUUCCAGAAAUCAAUUAUAAAAAAAUAAAAAUUAUCCAGCAAAGUUUUUUUUACGAACCAUUUUGCGUCCCCCUUGUGAGUAGUGGCCGGGGCACGCUGCCUCCCCUCGCCACGCCACUCGAUGUUACUAAUUAUAUUUACAAAGUUAUGUGAAAGAUCAAAGUGCAGCUGCUUGCCGUAGAUAUUUUCCUCAUGUGGUACUAUCUGUAAGGUAAGGAUUCUGUCCAGCGGUCGCAAGUUCUAGACGACUUACAGGUCGCAGCUCUAGAAGCACUGGCCACCUCCGCCCAACGUCAUCUUGUACCGCCAUUGUACCGGUACCAGCCCGGCUCACUAUACUAAUUGAAUAUUUAAUUUGGAAUUUGGUAGUUGUUUUAAAUAAGCAAUGGUUAAUGCUAAUAUCGAAAACAAAGUUUUAGAAAGAGUUCAGUUGGAUAUUUCUGAACGCGUGGAGUUGGAGAGAUGAACAAGUUACGUUGUGUCCCGUCAAGUCUUUCGCAUAAUCUAAGUUGAUACUCGAGAUUUGUAUUCCAAAUAUAUUUAUAAUCAUUAGGCAUCGUGUUUUAAACAAAAAUCUCUGUCAUUUGGUUGAAAAACCUUAAUUCACUCCGAGGUGCAUAUCGCUCGUCCGUGAAUGUUUGUUAUUGAUUCCUGUAUCCCUCUGCUACUCUGCUACUCGUACGUACCAACGUCACAAGUACAUAUUUGAACGAUCCGUUAAGUAUUCGCCAAUCGUUUACAGUACGCGCCCGAGCUAAACCGUUGCCAUUGAAUUUUACUUUAAAGUACACGGCACGGCGUCUACAGAAGUUUAUUUAUUCCUAUUUAUCAGGAAAAACCCUUAGCAGCAAGCAGCGGCUAACGGUUGCUAAGUUACAGAAACAAUAACGAGGUGCCUUAACCCAACAUACAAUGUACAUGAACAAAAACGUAUAAUACCCAGUCUUGCCAUAAAUACUGAGACAAAGGAAAAAAAAAAUUCUAUUGCAAAUAACCUUUAUUACUUUUACAGUGUGUUAGUUUAAUACAUAAAUAUAAAACAAUUUAAAGUAUAAAAAGCUUAUUCGAAGUCCAUUGGCUGCAAUACAGUCCUUUAAACGUUGAGGCCAGUUAUCAAAAGAAGCACGCACUCUUUCCAUGGGAAAAACUUUCACUGCCAAUCGUACGGAUUGUUUUAGGGACUCCAAAUUAUCAUGAAGUUUAGAGCAAGCCGUACUCUCUAAAACUGACCAUAAAUCAUAAUCCAGCGGAUUAAGAUCGGGACUAGACGACGGCCAGUCUUCAGCUCUGAUGAAGUCCGAAACGUUCGUUUUCAACCAAGACUGCGUAGACCGAGCUUUAUGACCUGGCGCCGAGUCUUGCUGGAAGGAUCAUUCUUGAUUAUUGAACAUGGUGUUGUUAAGGGGCUUCACUACCUUCUCAAGAAUGGUAUCUUGAUACACUUGUUCCGAUGUUUUGAUACCUUUUUCACAAAAGUAUGGCUCAGUCACUCCUUCAUAGCUAAUACCCCACCAAACCAUCACCGAAGUCGGAUAGUGCCCACGUUGGACUCUGUCGACUAAUUGGGAAGCUUCCUUAGAGCUUUGAGCAUAAAUACGGUCAUUUUGUUUGUUAAAAUGUUGCUCAAUUGUAAAAAUUUUCUCAUCCGUAAUCAAAAAUUUUCUAUGACCUCCCUUUGCGUACCGCUUCAGUAGUUGUUUCGAUUUUACCAUCCUAUUCUCUUUUAAAUUAUCAGUUAAGAAAUGACCAGUACGUCUCUUAUAGGCUGCAAGUCCUAAGUCAUCUUUUAAAAUACGCGACAUGGUUCUAGGUGCUAUUUUCAUCUCCCGAGAUAAAAUCUUUUGCUUUCGGACAGGAUAUCUUCGAAUUCUUCCUCUUGCUGCUUUGACCACCUUUUCCGUACGAACACUACGUAGACGGCCAGAUAUUUUUCUGUCACAAACAGAGGAGAUCUCAUUGCACCUAUUAAUAGCCUGGUACACAAACAUUUUACUAAUACCAAGCGUAUGGAGAGUUUUAAAAAUUGCAUUUGGCUCCAUACCUACUUUGUGUAAUGCAAUCACAGCGAUUCGGUUCUCUUUAUCACCCCACUCCAUUUUAAUAUCGCAAAAUAUUGUACAAUGUAUUGGCGCCAAAAUGAGAAAAUUCAAUGAGCAAUCAUAUCAAAAUGACAGAUUCCAAAUUCAAAUGUAAUAUUAUGUUUACUUUUAAUUGUAACAGUAUUUAUGACCGGACUAUGUAGUUUUAUAAGAUUUAUAAAAAAACGACUAAAAAGGCCCCAUUAGUGAGGGAAAACUGUUUGAACCCAAAUCUACUAAUGAAACCGCAUUGGGCUCUGUUGAGAUACGGAUUAAAAUUCUCAACUGCAACAGGAACAAUGGUUACCGCACCCUUCGAGCCGAAAGAGUUAGUAGUUCGCGUCAGAAAUACGCAGGAUGGUACCUACAGCAAGCACUCGCGGACUCAGCGCCCCCAACUACCUACUGGCUCUGGACGCGGCGACGGUGACUCACUGCAAGGAUGCCUUCAUGUUGCGUAUUCAUCUCAAAUAACUGGAAGCGUUAUUAUGCAGCUCGUGUGAAAUCUCAGAGACCCUGAGACGUCUCAGACCUACAAAUGUCAUAUGACUAAGUACGUUUUCAUUCCAACUCAAAGGAAAGUUUACGUUUUAAGAUUUUCUUGAAUACACCUACAUUAAAAAUAUUAUAUAGGUUGAAAUGUUACAUCACGGACAAGGCCACAAUCUUACGAGAACAGGCUUACAUCUCACCUGUCGAGAAAUAAGCGUCGCCGAAACAUUCAUUGUGCCAUAAGAAAAUAAAAAAGACCUUUUUGUGUAUACUGAUGUCUUUUUGUAUUUAUUCAUUUGUAAUUAUGUAAUGUAAAUAUAAUAUUGACUGCAAUAUUGUUCACCGAAACUGCGACAUAAUUAGAUUCACACAAAAAACUUAAAUUUUAAUAAAAUCAAUGAGAUGUCGCUUUUUUUUGUUGCCUAAGGUGGGCUCGCGGUCUACCUAGAGGCAUCACAACGUGAAUCCCACCUCAUCCCACCACGGGACACAAGUCUCCAAAAGUGCAGACCGCAGCCUUCAAAUGCAUGAACGCAAUUAUGAGACUUCUCGUAUGAGAUGGGCGGUGGGAAGAUCUCGUAAUCGUUCUCAUAUAAUGCCCGCAGUGCGGUGACACCAUUUUUGUUAUUUCACCACUCCUACCAGCAGACAUACUCGUAAUAGUUUUUGAAAUGAAAAUGAAACUGAGUGAAACAGCGCCCCUAGCGGCAAAUUUAGGCAAACGUUCCAACUCCAUACAAAUUUGAGUUAGGUAACUUUUGCGCUAUCGAGAACGUUUUUUUUAUGGCAUAGAUGGGUGGAAGAGCUCACAGCCCACCUGGUGUUAAGUGGUUACUGUGGCCCAUAGACAUCUACGACGUAAAUGCACAACCCAUCUUGAGAUAUAAGUUCUAAGAUCUGAAGUAUAGUUACAACGCAUUAUUGCUUCACGGCAGAAAUAGGCAGGGAGAUGCUACCCACCCGCGCGGACUCACAAGAGGUCCUACCACCAGUAAUUAUGCAAAUUAUAAUUUUGCGGGUUUGAUUUUUAUUAUACGAUGUUAUUUCUUCACCGUGGAAGUCAAUCGUUAAUAUAUAUGUUGAGUACGUAUUUCAUUAGAAAAAUUGGUACCCGCCUGCUGAAUUCGAACACCGGUGCAUCGCUCAAUACGAAAGCACCGGACGUCUUAUCCUUUUGGCCACGACGACGAUAAAAAACUCACAUUAAGCAUGCUGGGUUAUUUAAAUAUUUUACGCCGUGAGUAACGUACAGUCGAUUUACGCUAUGGCUUAGUUAUGCGAUUUGUUUUACGAAAUUCGCACUAAGCACACGCAACCCAGAACCCAGGACCAAUUGAGAACUUUAUAUCACAACGUUUGUUUACUUGUCUAGCGUGAUGCGGCCGCACUACACGAGUAACUAAAUACUUUGAAUAUCGCAUAUUCAUUGACAAUGUUAUUAUUAUUGCUUAUUUAUCAAGCUGUGUAGUGUAUCACAUUACAACUGAGUACAUUGUUCACCCUCUGAUACGAACUUAAAAUUGUUUUUGAUGUAAACGCCAUCUAUUUGCGAUGAACCUAAACAAUAAAUUAAAUCCGUCAUUGUAUUGGGCACUUCAGAGGCAUCGUUUAUAAUUUGUUGAAUAUAAGUAUAUUAGUAACAAUGGAAUGAAACAAAGCCUGCGAUGAAGGACCUUAUUGUGUCGCAUUACAGCGCUUCUCAAUCAAUUUCUAUGUGACAUGAUUGGCUUUGGUUAUCUAAUUAAACCGCUUUGACGACUCUAAUUUCCUUUACUCUGUGACUUUUAAUUAUAAUCUAGUAUUUAGACAACUGUGUUGCGUUCUAUAAAAUGAGAUCCGGGUUCGAUAGCUGGUCGGGUUGAACUCUGGGGCUGCAUCUGCUUGUGCUGUCUUGCAACAUAACGUUACCGAUUGCACAGCACCUGGCUUAAAGCUGUGAACCUCCUAGUACUGUAGCAUUUGAAUUUAGACAGUGUACUUUAAUUUUAGUAUCUUAAUAAAUUGAUUUCUUAUAAUAUAAUAUUCUGACAGUGCAUAAUAAUAUAAUAUCCUGACAAUCUUAGCGCAAAUUUAAACUCAUCAACCGCAUAACCUAGACUGGUUUCCACGUUCGUUGCUAGAUGGCGGUAUUUACCAAAGAUUUAAUAUUUCGAAAAUGUUAAACUUCUUUCCGUACCCGUUCACCGGCAUUUAUUAUCAAAAGUACUUUUAAUUAUGAAACUAUUGCAUUGUAAUUAAGUCGGUACGAUUGAUACAGACACAUGAUUUGUAUUUAUGCUAACAGAUGUCGUUGUCAUUGAACAGCAACUAACGACACGGAAUAAAAUAUAUUCAAACAAGUUGUGUAGUUCCGCCGAGAGUGAAAGUGGCUGCUUCACUAGUUCAGUUUCAUUUAGUUCGUUAUAUUUCAUUUAAUUGUUAAAAUUACAAUACAAUGCAAUACAAUACGUAACAAACAGGCUGCGUCAAUAUAAAGUUCCAAAUUGAAGUAAAUCGACAACCUAAAUUUUAAGUCAAUUAAACUUCGUAAAUACGAACUGAUGGUGAUCCCCACAUUUGGCGUCUCCGAGACUUCAUUAUAGUACAUCCAAGCAAAAACGUUUCUUUUUCUGGAUUAUUAAAAUGCAAUAUGUAUUCGUACUAAAAUAAGGACACCUGACAAAAUGAAAUGGUAACUUUUUAAAUACGGAAAUUGUACACAAUGACGUAAGUCCAACUGCGUAAUUUUUCUCUUCGUCUCAUUCGCUGCAAAUUAAAAGGAGCAAUGAUCACCAGCAUUCAUCGGUGCUCGUUCUUCAGAAUGUUUCUCUUACACGCGUCGUCUACUAUAUUAGGCAAAGGUAUGCGUUAGUUUACGAAAAGGUACACUAAUUUGUAUGUGCAUAUUUCACAGCGGUCGUGUCAUCCAACCUUUGUCUGAAGUCGGCAAAUGAUCCAGCGGGUAACUAACUGUUCAAAAACCAUGAUGAUGUGAGAGUUGAGGGAGAGAUUGGGUGCUAGAUGCGUAUUGUGAUCUCGGGCGACUAACAAAUAUGACCUUUUUCAAACGAGGCUUGUGGAGAGUACCUAACGAUAGGUAGUGGCUUGACUCUGUCCCUAGCAUUGCUGAUGUCCACGACCGACGGUAACCACUCACCAUCAGAUGGGCCGCUAGUUCGUCUUGAAUUGAACGGUACUGAAGUGUAACCGUAUGAGUAUUUAGCUGAGCCAACUCGAUCGUAUCGGAAACUACCCAAAAGACUCGUAAUAUAAUAUGCAUAUUUGCGAAUAAUUUGCAUUAACGUUGGUCAAUAUAGCGAUCCCGAGCGCAGGGAGCGAGUGCCGAACUCGGAGAAAGUAGUUUUUGCACAUUUCGACGGAGCGGCCGCCACUCUCCAACUCGCGCCCUGACAUUAACGAUUUCUGCACCUCUAGACUUCUUUAAAACUUGCCGAACUCUUUCGGGGUAAGCUACACACAAAAAGUGAGCCACUAUAAAAAUAUAUUAUUAUACUAGCUGACCCGGCAGACUUCGUAGUGCCUCAAUCGAUAAAUAAAAUACCUAAACUUUUGUAUAAAAUAAACUUAAAACAAACAAAAGAAUCCUUCGUACGGGGGACACAAUGCAAAAGUGACGUUUAUUCAGCUUUUUUUAUUUUUAUUGCUUUGAUGGGUGGACGAGCUUUACCUGGUGUUAAGUGGUUACUGGAGCACAUAGACAUCUACAACGUAAAUGCGCCACCCACCUUGAGAUAUAAGUUCUAAGGUCUCAAGUAUAGUUACAACGGCUGCCCCACCCUUCAAAUCGAAACGCAUUACUGCUUCACGGCAGAAAUAGGCAGGGUGGUGGUACCCACCCGCGCGGACUCACAAGAGGUCCUACCACCAGUAAAAAAGCUGUCAAAUUGUUCGAAAAAGAAUUGAAUGACAAUGAAAAUAAUUGAACCACGCAUAGAGCACCCGCGUUCUGUAUUACGUCAGAGUGAAUAUAUCACUCUAAGCACACGACACAAUAGCUUAAUGGACGCGCCAUCAUAGACAUAUAUUUUUUAUUGAUAGCUUAUUGUAAGUAUACCUAUAGAAUUAUAGUGGCAGAAAAAAAAACCCUUAUUAGUUUCUGAAAAUAUGCAACAAAUACGGACAGGACCUUUUUCUGGAAGCGUUUAAAAACCUGAGCACAGCACGCGAAUAUAGUAUUCGUGUAAUAACAUGUUGUCGGCUGCGCUUCCACAGAACAAGAUUUGUAAUUCUAAACGUAUUAGAAUUAUACAUACGAACUUUAUGAAUUUUGAACGUUCUCUCGCGACACGUGACUCAGAAUUUGAAUGUUAAGUCAACAUGCGGGCCAGGUGGUGGCGCCGCGAGUCUAACUGCAGUGUUGACCGCGGGAGCCCCACACUCUGACCGUAGUCUUACUCCUAGCGGAGAUCGGACAUCGGCUGAGAGAGUGCAAGAGAGAGUCGCUUGGUGCGGUAGGGCCCUAAACGAUCGGUGACGUCAUGUGACCAUGGCUUCCUGCAGAUGUUGCUGAGAACAUGUAGUGCGAUAACGUCGUUGAGUCGUUUCCAAGGCACCGUGGGCCCGCGAUGCUCGCCUCGUAUUGCGCAUGUCGCGGGCCGCCGUGGGAGCACUCUCUUCUAGAUCUCUGAAUGGGUUGUUGUGCAAAAACCGUUAUGGUAGGAGCGCGCGAGCGAGCGACUCAUUUUCGGCGUCGAUAUUACUCAGUAACAAUUUAGAAAGUUGCGUCGGCAGGUCUGCGGUCCUGUCUCUCGGCAGCGGCCACACUAUCUAUUGUUUUGUUUUAUUAAUAUUCAGCUACUUUGUCGAUUGACCAGUUUCUUUAAUUCAACAAUCGCUACACGAGCCCAUGGGCAGCAUGUUGUUAGAGACCGAAGUCGCGUUGAAGUGGCUGCUAAUUAAUACGCUUUUAUUAACUUCAGACGUAUGUAUGUAUGUUAGUAACGGAAUCUUUGAACAUGAUUUUGAUCCCCUUCAAAACGUCGUAUUAACUAAAAAAAUUUGUAUCGUUAUUAAGGACCGAUGACAAUUCAAGAUCUAAAAAAAAUUAAAAAAAAUAUUGAAAAAAUAGACUACCUAUAAUUAACUACCUAUUAUUUAUUUUGUAUAUCAGAUUCUACUCAUAAUACUUUAUUAUAUAUUAUUAUUUAAUGUGAGUUUGUUUGUUCCGUUUUCGUCUUAAUUACUUAACCGUUCACAACGCAAUGUUGUGCACACGUUGUAAGCCAUACACAAAACGGCACACAGUAACUUGCAUCCAGAGCUGUUCCCGGGAUUUAUGUAUUUCUAUGCCAACAUCAAUGAAGCUGCUUAUAAAAGCCAGUAGUAGGUACCUGUCACAAAUAUUUAAUUUACGUGAGUUAGAUUCGCGGCCGAUGUAGAUCCCCCGGUGCUCUUCCACCAAUAGUGCGUACUGACAGACCAAGAAUAGGUUUGGAGCCGCGACCUCAGUUGAGCCGUGCUCUCGCGAGUUUCGGCAGAGGUGAAAGUAUUCGUGUUAUUAAGAAAGGAAAAGUUGUUCAUUUUUUGUGGUAAGAGGCGGUCCACGCCGAUACCCCCCACCCCCACCUCCCCCCCGUCCCGCCGUCCCGCCGUCCUCCAUGGAAAGUGAAACUUGCUAAUUUUGACUAUUUGACAGCAACGUGCUCGCUUCGUAUCCGAGCCCGAUGUCUGCUCGACUGUUGGAAAUACUCGUAGAAGCCAUGGAAAAUCUGAUUCGAAGAUGCCGUACAAAGUAAAUGUUUGUUUGUGGAAGGUGAUUGAUUACCCAACCUACUAACUGUACGGGGAACGUGGAGAUCCGACUCUGUAAAUGGAAUACUGCUAUUACCUGCUUAUCAAAAAUAGCCUUCUGUCACGACGAACAAUUAAUACGAGAAAGUGAGCAGUUGAAUUGAUGAAUACACCGGGUGUGCGAUCACAAUUAUAUUGUUUCGUUUUUAUACUAGGUACGGGCCGGACAAACGUUUUGAAAUAAAUAUAUGAUUAAGAACUUCAAAUUAGCCAUGGAGUUCGCUGAAACCAACAUUCAAGGAACUACGGAGAACACGAACGGAUUGGUUCAAGUAUUGUGGGUGUGGGUUCAACAGGCGCGAGCCAACAGACAAAUGUGAUAUGUUUCUAUACAUCGAUAAGAUACUUUAUAUUAUGUAAAAAAUAGUAAGAAAAAAUACACAAACUAUUAAAAUAGUAAAUUGAUUUUUUAUUUUUUAUUGCUUAGAUGGGUGUACGAGCUCACAGCACACCUGGUGUUAAGUGGUUACUGGAGCCCAUAGACAUUUACAACGCAAAUGCGCCACCCACCUUGAGAUAUAAGUUCUAAGGUCUCAAGUUACUUACAACGGCUGCCCCACCCUUCAAACCGAAACGCAUUACUGCUUCACGGCAGAAAUACGCGGGGCGGUGGUACCUAGGUACCCGUGCGGACUCACAUGAGGUCCUGCCGCCAGUAAUUACGCAAAUUAUAAUUUUGCGGGUUUGAUUUUUAUUACACGAUGUUAUUUCUUCACCGUGAAGCCGGUCGUGAACGAUAUUUUAUAUACGAUAAUUUUAGUAACAUGAAAGUGCAUUCUUAAUUUGUUAUUAAUGUCUGCUGCGCUGCCCCCAUUAUUCGUUUGCAAAUACAUUAUACAUGAAACUAUGCAACGCAUCCUCUACAGCGCGAUUCAGAAAACUAAUAACGGCAUCCAUUAGUUCGGCAAACACAAACGCGCGUAGUCUAAUAGCUAAAGCAAAAAAACUGAUCAAAAUGUGUCGAGUAGUUCGGCGCAGCGUCACGCGGCGUCACGCGGCGUCACGCGGCCGACUGCUCCGCUGUAGUAGAACUCUAUAGGUACAAACUAUACCGAUACCGAUGAAACGGAAAUAAGCUACCAAACAACUUUUCGGAUUAUCUUAAAAUACAAACAAUUUUUUCCAAUAGUUAUUCAUUGCGAUCACAAACAAAUUCGAUGAUGAAGGAACAACAUCUAGUAAUAAAAUCAAUUUUAUAAGUGUGCGUAACUAUAGGGGGCAGAGGAGGGGGUGUGGGCUUACUUCUGUCCCAAAACAGUAAAGCAUAUUUGUUUUACAAUAAAGACGCGCCGCGCCUGUCGGUAUACAAACGGGAUUGAGAUUUCGGCCGCCCGUCUGCAGCCGGGCAGCGGUUAUAAGUUGUGAUGAGCGCUCUUGAGUCUUUACACAAAGAAAGCGAGUCGUGUGCCCGCUUCCUCGUCAUCCGUCUUCACCACUGUAACUGUUCUGUUUAUAUUUGAGUGUAGUAAUUAGUAGAUAAUACCGUAAAAGAGCAUUUCGUGAAAUUGCCAGAAUCAUCUGACGUAUUGUCGAUUAAGCAUCGCGUCGGCCUGUUUUCGAAGAAGAAUGAAAGUAGUAAUGUUCGGUGCGCGCAACCCGCAGGCCAGGACCGCUUUCCAAACUGGCGACGGUUCCUUUAUAGCCAACGUUUUUAAAUUCCUACAUAUUUUUUUAUUAUAAUGAAGCUCAGCACUUUGCAUUAAAGUGGGAUAAUUGACACGCAUCCGUAUAUGUACUUUUGAUUUCUCGUUCAAUUUUCAUUUUAUUAUAUAUACUACAUACAUACAUACAUACAUAUUAUUAUGUAUAUACGAGUACUACUCGUACCUACUAAGUACUAUCUUAUACAGAUGACAUUCGAUAAACAUUAUUAGCGAAUCAAACGGAGGUCAAUCACUACAUCAACUCGAAAGAUUCUAUUUAUGUUCCUAAGAUGAAAUUCUAAAAUAUAUGUAUGACUUUGUCGUACCUGGGUAUGUUUAUUAAUUGACAAACUAUUAUUUUUUUGAAAUUGUCUAUUUAUCAAAGUAUUUGAUUUUACUAAAAACAUUCGAUUAGUGGAAGUGAAGUAACCAAAUAAGCAUUAUCGGCUGAGAACCGUGCUGGUGCGGAAGGAAGGCGGGGUGGGCGGUGGGGAGCUGCAGCGAUGGGGCUUCACUUCCAAGUGUAUGUUCUCAUGUUAUUCACACGUCAUUAUCUUAAUGAAUGACACUAAAUGUUUCCUCUAACGCGUUGUAGAUGCGUGUCGGUGGCAGCGCGGCCGCGAUAACCUCACUUAUCAUCUCGCGACCCACAAAAUUCAUAUAUUCCGUUAUUAUUAAUCGUGUUAAUAAUAAUUGAAUUAAAACGACGCUUGUAAGGUCGUGUUGCGCAGACAUCACUUCCCGAGAGUAUAGUUUUCAUAGAAAGUCUCCUUGUGUGUGCAGUCUUCAGCCUCGUGUUCAAUAACACGUAGGACGGAAUCGUUAAUGGAUACCCGACCGGCUGACCUGGUCGGAGUUACAGGGAACAGCUUCACAAAGUUAACUUGCUGAGCAGCACGGCACAUCUUAUAUUGAGUAAGGUCUGCGGGCGGGCGUGAACAUAGUAUUUUUCAAUUUCAAAUCAGUGACACGGCUGUAAUACCAGUGCCUCACGAACAUCCUUUUUUUAUUUUGGACGGGGGCCGAACCUUCUACGAGGUCCUAGCGCGUAGAAGGCGUACGAAUAGUAGAUGAUCCGCAGAUAUUGGGAGCGGAUCACGGACCCAGGGAUCUGUAGGCAAAAAGGGAAAAAAUAAUAAAGUAGAAGAAAUAAAAUCACAAAUUAUAUAAUAUACUAACUAGCUGACCCGGCAGACUUCGUAGUGCCUCAAUCGAUAAAUAAAAGACCUAAAUUUUUGUAUAAAAUAAACUUAAAACAAACAAAAUUGUUAUUUUUAUUUAAUUCCGUGCAUUUUCAUAUUUAUCUACCUUUUAAACCUUCUCUGGACUUCCACAAAUAAUUCAAGACCAAAAUUAGCCAAAUCGGUCAGCCGUUCUCGAGUUUUAGCGAGACUAACGAACAGCAAUUCAUUUAUAUAUAUAUAUAUAGAUUGUACAAUGUACCUAAUAAAAAAUGUUGGUGUUCGAAAAACUUAUAAUUCGGCCUUUUCCAAGAGUCGAUUGAGCCAAAGUGCAAAUCUAAAUCACACGCUGGGUCACCCAUGCGCUGAGGUGUGUAUAAUCGGCGGUCACGUGGACCCGAGGCACGUUUCUUUAUGAAUUUUGAACGUUCUCUCGCGACACGUGACUCAGAAUUUGAAUGUUAAGUCAACAUGCGGGCCAGGUGGUGGCGCCGCGAGUCUAACUGCAGUGUUGACCGCGGGAGCCCCACACUCUGACCGUAGUCUUACUCCUAGCGGAGAUCGGACAUCGGCUGAGAGAGUGCAAGAGAGAGUCGCUUGGUGCGGUAGGGCCCUAAACGAUCGGUGACGUCAUGUGACCAUGGCUUCCUGCAGAUGUUGCUGAGAACAUGUAGUGCGAUAACGUCGUUGAGUCGUUUCCAAGGCACCGUGGGCCCGCGAUGCUCGCCUCGUAUUGCGCAUGUCGCGGGCCGCCGUGGGAGCACUCUCUUCUAGAUCUCUGAAUGGGUUGUUGUGCAAAAACCGUUAUGGUAGGAGCGCGCGAGCGAGCGACUCAUUUUCGGCGUCGAUAUUACUCAGUAACAAUUUAGAAAGUUGCGUCGGCAGGUCUGCGGUCCUGUCUCUCGGCAGCGGCCACACUAUCUAUUGUUUUGUUUUAUUAAUAUUCAGCUACUUUGUCGAUUGACCAGUUUCUUUAAUUCAACAAUCGCUACACGAGCCCAUGGGCAGCAUGUUGUUAGAGACCGAAGUCGCGUUGAAGUGGCUGCUAAUUAAUACGCUUUUAUUAACUUCAGACGUAUGUAUGUAUGUUAGUAACGGAAUCUUUGAACAUGAUUUUGAUCCCCUUCAAAACGUCGUAUUAACUAAAAAAAUUUGUAUCGUUAUUAAGGACCGAUGACAAUUCAAGAUCUAAAAAAAAUUAAAAAAAAUAUUGAAAAAAUAGACUACCUAUAAUUAACUACCUAUUAUUUAUUUUGUAUAUCAGAUUCUACUCAUAAUACUUUAUUAUAUAUUAUUAUUUAAUGUGAGUUUGUUUGUUCCGUUUUCGUCUUAAUUACUUAACCGUUCACAACGCAAUGUUGUGCACACGUUGUAAGCCAUACACAAAACGGCACACAGUAACUUGCAUCCAGAGCUGUUCCCGGGAUUUAUGUAUUUCUAUGCCAACAUCAAUGAAGCUGCUUAUAAAAGCCAGUAGUAGGUACCUGUCACAAAUAUUUAAUUUACGUGAGUUAGAUUCGCGGCCGAUGUAGAUCCCCCGGUGCUCUUCCACCAAUAGUGCGUACUGACAGACCAAGAAUAGGUUUGGAGCCGCGACCUCAGUUGAGCCGUGCUCUCGCGAGUUUCGGCAGAGGUGAAAGUAUUCGUGUUAUUAAGAAAGGAAAAGUUGUUCAUUUUUUGUGGUAAGAGGCGGUCCACGCCGAUACCCCCCACCCCCACCUCCCCCCCGUCCCGCCGUCCCGCCGUCCUCCAUGGAAAGUGAAACUUGCUAAUUUUGACUAUUUGACAGCAACGUGCUCGCUUCGUAUCCGAGCCCGAUGUCUGCUCGACUGUUGGAAAUACUCGUAGAAGCCAUGGAAAAUCUGAUUCGAAGAUGCCGUACAAAGUAAAUGUUUGUUUGUGGAAGGUGAUUGAUUACCCAACCUACUAACUGUACGGGGAACGUGGAGAUCCGACUCUGUAAAUGGAAUACUGCUAUUACCUGCUUAUCAAAAAUAGCCUUCUGUCACGACGAACAAUUAAUACGAGAAAGUACGGGCCGGACAAACGUUUUGAAAUAAAUAUAUGAUUAAGAACUUCAAAUUAGCCAUGGAGUUCGCUGAAACCAACAUUCAAGGAACUACGGAGAACACGAACGGAUUGGUUCAAGUAUUGUGGGUGUGGGUUCAACAGGCGCGAGCCAACAGACAAAUGUGAUAUGUUUCUAUACAUCGAUAAGAUACUUUAUAUUAUGUAAAAAAUAGUAAGAAAAAAUACACAAACUAUUAAAAUAGUAAAUUGAUUUUUUAUUUUUUAUUGCUUAGAUGGGUGUACGAGCUCACAGCACACCUGGUGUUAAGUGGUUACUGGAGCCCAUAGACAUUUACAACGCAAAUGCGCCACCCACCUUGAGAUAUAAGUUCUAAGGUCUCAAGUUACUUACAACGGCUGCCCCACCCUUCAAACCGAAACGCAUUACUGCUUCACGGCAGAAAUACGCGGGGCGGUGGUACCUAGGUACCCGUGCGGACUCACAUGAGGUCCUGCCGCCAGUAAUUACGCAAAUUAUAAUUUUGCGGGUUUGAUUUUUAUUACACGAUGUUAUUUCUUCACCGUGAAGCCGGUCGUGAACGAUAUUUUAUAUACGAUAAUUUUAGUAACAUGAAAGUGCAUUCUUAAUUUGUUAUUAAUGUCUGCUGCGCUGCCCCCAUUAUUCGUUUGCAAAUACAUUAUACAUGAAACUAUGCAACGCAUCCUCUACAGCGCGAUUCAGAAAACUAAUAACGGCAUCCAUUAGUUCGGCAAACACAAACGCGCGUAGUCUAAUAGCUAAAGCAAAAAAACUGAUCAAAAUGUGUCGAGUAGUUCGGCGCAGCGUCACGCGGCGUCACGCGGCGUCACGCGGCCGACUGCUCCGCUGUAGUAGAACUCUAUAGGUACAAACUAUACCGAUACCGAUGAAACGGAAAUAAGCUACCAAACAACUUUUCGGAUUAUCUUAAAAUACAAACAAUUUUUUCCAAUAGUUAUUCAUUGCGAUCACAAACAAAUUCGAUGAUGAAGGAACAACAUCUAGUAAUAAAAUCAAUUUUAUAAGUGUGCGUAACUAUAGGGGGCAGAGGAGGGGGUGUGGGCUUACUUCUGUCCCAAAACAGUAAAGCAUAUUUGUUUUACAAUAAAGACGCGCCGCGCCUGUCGGUAUACAAACGGGAUUGAGAUUUCGGCCGCCCGUCUGCAGCCGGGCAGCGGUUAUAAGUUGUGAUGAGCGCUCUUGAGUCUUUACACAAAGAAAGCGAGUCGUGUGCCCGCUUCCUCGUCAUCCGUCUUCACCACUGUAACUGUUCUGUUUAUAUUUGAGUGUAGUAAUUAGUAGAUAAUACCGUAAAAGAGCAUUUCGUGAAAUUGCCAGAAUCAUCUGACGUAUUGUCGAUUAAGCAUCGCGUCGGCCUGUUUUCGAAGAAGAAUGAAAGUAGUAAUGUUCGGUGCGCGCAACCCGCAGGCCAGGACCGCUUUCCAAACUGGCGACGGUUCCUUUAUAGCCAACGUUUUUAAAUUCCUACAUAUUUUUUUAUUAUAAUGAAGCUCAGCACUUUGCAUUAAAGUGGGAUAAUUGACACGCAUCCGUAUAUGUACUUUUGAUUUCUCGUUCAAUUUUCAUUUUAUUAUAUAUACUACAUACAUACAUACAUACAUAUUAUUAUGUAUAUACGAGUACUACUCGUACCUACUAAGUACUAUCUUAUACAGAUGACAUUCGAUAAACAUUAUUAGCGAAUCAAACGGAGGUCAAUCACUACAUCAACUCGAAAGAUUCUAUUUAUGUUCCUAAGAUGAAAUUCUAAAAUAUAUGUAUGACUUUGUCGUACCUGGGUAUGUUUAUUAAUUGACAAACUAUUAUUUUUUUGAAAUUGUCUAUUUAUCAAAGUAUUUGAUUUUACUAAAAACAUUCGAUUAGUGGAAGUGAAGUAACCAAAUAAGCAUUAUCGGCUGAGAACCGUGCUGGUGCGGAAGGAAGGCGGGGUGGGCGGUGGGGAGCUGCAGCGAUGGGGCUUCACUUCCAAGUGUAUGUUCUCAUGUUAUUCACACGUCAUUAUCUUAAUGAAUGACACUAAAUGUUUCCUCUAACGCGUUGUAGAUGCGUGUCGGUGGCAGCGCGGCCGCGAUAACCUCACUUAUCAUCUCGCGACCCACAAAAUUCAUAUAUUCCGUUAUUAUUAAUCGUGUUAAUAAUAAUUGAAUUAAAACGACGCUUGUAAGGUCGUGUUGCGCAGACAUCACUUCCCGAGAGUAUAGUUUUCAUAGAAAGUCUCCUUGUGUGUGCAGUCUUCAGCCUCGUGUUCAAUAACACGUAGGACGGAAUCGUUAAUGGAUACCCGACCGGCUGACCUGGUCGGAGUUACAGGGAACAGCUUCACAAAGUUAACUUGCUGAGCAGCACGGCACAUCUUAUAUUGAGUAAGGUCUGCGGGCGGGCGUGAACAUAGUAUUUUUCAAUUUCAAAUCAGUGACACGGCUGUAAUACCAGUGCCUCACGAACAUCCUUUUUUUAUUUUGGACGGGGGCCGAACCUUCUACGAGGUCCUAGCGCGUAGAAGGCGUACGAAUAGUAGAUGAUCCGCAGAUAUUGGGAGCGGAUCACGGACCCAGGGAUCUGUAGGCAAAAAGGGAAAAAAUAAUAAAGUAGAAGAAAUAAAAUCACAAAUUAUAUAAUAUACUAACUAGCUGACCCGGCAGACUUCGUAGUGCCUCAAUCGAUAAAUAAAAGACCUAAAUUUUUGUAUAAAAUAAACUUAAAACAAACAAAA